AUAGCUCAGUGGUAGAGUGUGUGCUUAGCAUGCACGAGGUCCUGGGUUCAAUCCCCAGU
rnacentral:tRNA from 1 species